AAAUUAAAAUUCUCUCUGCUCUCAUCGUCUUCUUCCUUAAGAGGCGUUUGUUUAAUCACUUCCGACGAAAUCAAGGUCAAGAGAAGAAUCAAUUAAUCACUUGUGAGGAGAGACCCACAGUCUUUAGAUAAGUUCUCUUCGCUUAUUAUAUAUGAGUUUCUAGAUCUUUCUUUGCCUUUUUGAUUUUCCCGUUUUAGGGUUUUCAAUUUCGAUUGUAUUGACUCUGUUUUUUUUUUUUUUUUCAUCCUUCAGUGACGAUCAAUCACUUCCCCAGUUCCCAAGAAAUCGCCAUCUCUAGUCGGGAUAAAUCGAGGGAUGAAGUCGAUCGAGCCUUUGCCUGAGGGUGUUUAUCACUCCAAGCGUUCUGGAAUUAUCAUGUUAGAGAUGAAGAGGGUCAUUGGAGGAACUCGUGUUCAACAGUUAGAUGCUGGUGCGACCUAAGGUUUCUUUCUUCAUGGGUGUUGUUUCGUGCUCUAUAAAGGUUGUUGAUGAUGGAUCAGGCGUUUCCAGAGAUGCUUUGGUUUUGUUGGGAAAAAGAUACAGUAAGUUGUGGCGAUAUUUUAUGUUUGAUGCACUGAUAAAGACCACUUCUUAGUCUUCGAUUGAGAACAG